UACAGAGGGUGCGAGCGUUGUCCGGAAUCACUGGGCGUAAAGGGCUCGUAGGCGGCUUGGUAAGGUUGCGGUGAAAGCCCGGGGCUCAACCCCGGGUCGGCCGUGGCAACUGUCGAGCUGGAGCACUGUAGAGGCAGGUGGAAUUCCGGGUGUAGCGGUGGAAUGCGUAGAGAUCCGGAAGAACACCAGUGGCGAAGGCGGCCCGCUGGGCAGUGGCUGACGCUGAGGCGCGACAGCGUGGGGAGCAAACAGG
rnacentral:rRNA from 1 species